UACGUAGGCAGCAAGCGUUGUUCGGAGUUACUGGGCGUAAAGGGUGUGUAGGCGGUCUUCUAAGUUUGGUGUGAAAUCUCCCGGCUCAACUGGGAGGGUGCGCCGAAAACUGGGAGGCUAGAGUGCGGGAUGGGAGAGUGGAAUUCCUGGUGUAGCGGUGAAAUGCGUAGAUAUCAGGAGGAACACCUGUGGUGUAGACGGCUCUCUGGACCGCAACUGACGCUGAGACACGAAAGCGUGGGUAGCAAACAGGAUUAGAUACCCUGGUAGUCCACGCCCUAAACGAUGCAUAUUUGGUGUGGGCCAUUCAUUUGGUCUGUGCCGGAGCUAACGCGUUAAAUAUGCCGCCUGGGGAGUACGGUCGCAAGGCUGAA
rnacentral:rRNA from 1 species